GGGCAUGGUGGUGGGCGCCUGUAGUCCUAGCUACUCGGGAGGCUGAGGCAGAGGCAGAGGCAGAGCUUGCAGUGAGCCAAGAUUGCACCACUGCAUUCCAGCCUGGGUGACAGAGCAAGACUCCAUCUCAAAAAAAAAAAAAAAAAAAAAAAAGAAGUUGCUAUGUGACAGGCAUGGUGGCUUGUGGCUUGUGCCUGUAAUCCUAGCAUUUUGGGAGGCUGAGGUGUGAGGAUUGCUUGAACCUAGGAGUUCAAGGUUGCAGUAAGCUAUGAUUGUGCCACUGCACUCCAGCCUGGAUGACAGAGUGAGACCCUGUCUUUAUAAAAUAAAAAAUUAAAAAAAAUUAAAAGAAACUAUUAAAACAGACAUCUUAAUACUGACAAAACAGAAUCUUCAUAGUAAUAUGAUAUCAAAUUCCAAC
rnacentral:lncRNA from 1 species